rnacentral:rRNA from 1 species
GAGUUUGAACCUGGCUCAGGAUGAACGCUGGCGGCAUGCCUAACACAUGCAAGUCGAACGGGGUUUAUAUAACAGAACUCUCCGGAGGGAAGAUAUAUAAACCUAGUGGCGGACGGGUGAGUAACGCGUGGGCAACCUGCCCUGUACCGGGGGACAACAGCCAGAAAUGGCUGCUAAUACCGCAUAAGCCUGCUGUGCCGCAUGGCACAGCAGGGAAAACCACGGUGGUACAGGAUGGGCCCGCGUCUGAUUAGUUAGUUGGCAGGGUAACGGCCUACCAAGACAACGAUCAGUAGCCGGCUUGAGAGAGUGGACGGCCACAUUGGGACUGAGACACGGCCCAGACUCCUGCGGGAGGCAGCAGUGGGGAAUAUUGCACAAUGGGGGGAACCCUGAUGCAGCAAUGCCGCGUGGGUGAAGAAGCACUCCGGUGCGUAAAGCCCUGUCAGCAGGGAAGAAAAUGACAGUACCUGACCAAGAAGCCCCGGCUAACUACGUGCCAGCAGCCGCGGUAAUACG